rnacentral:rRNA from 1 species
CACGUAGGGCGCGAGCGUUGUCCGGAAUUAUUGGGCGUAAAGAGCUCGUAGGCGGCCUGUUGCGUCCGCUGUGAAAGCCCGGGGCUUAACCCCGGGUCGGCAGUGGAUACGGGCAGGCUAGAGGUAGGUAGGGGAGAAUGGAAUUCCCGGUGUAGCGGUGAAAUGCGCAGAUAUCGGGAGGAACACCAGUGGCGAAGGCGAUCACCUGGGGUUGUUCUGACGCUGAGGAGCGAAAGCUAGGGGAGCAAACGGG